rnacentral:rRNA from 1 species
UACGUAGGGGGCAAGCGUUGUCCGGAAUCAUUGGGCGUAAAGAGCGUGUAGGCGGCCCGAUAAGUCCGCUGUGAAAGUCCAGGGCUCAACCCUGGGAUGCCGGUGGAUACUGUCGGGCUCGAGUCCGGAAGAGGCGAGUGGAAUUCCCGGUGUAGCGGUGAAAUGCGCAGAUAUCGGGAGGAACACCAAUGGCGAAGGCAGCUCGCUGGGACGGUACUGACGCUGAGACGCGAAAGCGUGGGGAGCAAACAGG